GUGCUCACUUCGGCAGCACAUACACUAAAAUUGGAAGGACACAGAGAUUAGCGCAGCCUUUGUGCAAGGUUGACACACAAAUCUGUGAAGCAUGUUAUUUUAAA